AACGUAGGAGGCGAGCGUUAUCCGGAUUUACUGGGUGUAAAGCGCGUGCAGGCGGUCGGUUAAGUUGGAUGUGAAAGCUCCUGGCUCAACUGGGAGAGGUCGUUCAAAACUAGCCGACUGGAGAAUGGUAGGGGAAGGUGGAAUUCCGGGUGUAGUGGUGAAAUGCGUAGAUAUCCGGAGGAACACCAGUGGCGAAGGCGGCCUUCUGGACCAUUUCUGACGCUCAGACGCGAAAGCUAGGGUGGCAAACGGG
rnacentral:rRNA from 1 species